CACCGUUUCAGCUUGAGUUCUUUUGGAUCUCUCAGCAAUAGCUUUGGCCAGAAGUGCCUUCUUGCGUUUAUUCUUCUCUUCUAUCAGCCGCUGCUCCUGCUGGAGGAUCUCCCAUCGUGAUUUUUCCUGCAAUUCCACUUUCUUUUUCUCCACUUUGGUGCUCGUCUUCGGAGCGAGGUUCCGGGCACUGUCACUGCCAUUACAAGGACCUGCUGGCAUCGGCUCCUUCUGCUGAUCUCUGCUGUCAUGUUGCCUUUGAUCUGCUGAAGGAUGAUGCGGUGCUGGCACUGACUGCUGAGGAUUACAAGGUUUAUGUUUUGGUACAGACAGCAACUGGUCAGGAGGAACAGAGGCUGCUCCACCCUGCAGUCCCAGCUUCUGGCAUUGCUGCUGGAGAGCUUUUUCUCGCUGCAGUUGCUUCCAAUUCUUAUUUGCAGGGUGGGGACGACGCGGCUGCUCUGGGGGUUCAGAUAAAUCUCGCUGCAGGCGCCGCAGCUCCUCCUGCGUGAAACCAGCCCAGGCCUCAGCACCGGCCAUGGCGCUUCCUCCUUCCGCUGAC
rnacentral:lncRNA from 1 species